rnacentral:rRNA from 1 species
UACGUAGGGGGCAAGCGUUGUCCGGAUUUAUUGGGCGUAAAGAGCGUGUAGGCGGCCAGACAGGUCCGUUGUGAAAACUCGAGGCUCAACCUCGAGACGCCGAUGGAAACCGUCUGGCUAGAGUCCGGAAGAGGAGAGUGGAAUUCCUGGUGUAGCGGUGAAAUGCGCAGAUAUCAGGAAGAGCACCCGUGGCUAAGGCGGCUCUCUAGUACGGUACUGACGCUGAGACGCGAAAGCGUGGGGAGCGAACAGG